UACGUAGGGGGGCGAGCGUUGUCCGAAGUUACUGGGCGUAAAGCGCGCGUAGGCGGGUUGGCAAGUCUGCUGUGAAAGCCCGGGGCUUAACUCCGGAGGGUCGGUGGAUACUGCCAGUCUUGAAGGUGCUAGGGAGAGAUGGAAUUACCGGUGUAGCGGUGAAAUGCGUAGAUAUCGGUAGGAACACCAGUGGCGAAGGCGGUCUCUUGGGGCAUUCUUGACGCUGAGGCGCGAAAGCUGGGGGAGCGAACGGG
rnacentral:rRNA from 1 species